rnacentral:miRNA from 1 species
GAGGUUCUGCCGAUUUUUCGG